AUAAUGAUACUUCCGGGAAGGCUACCCGGUCUGGAAAGAUGGUGAAAUACCAAUGA
ncrna:Blautia obeum ATCC 29174 pemK RNA